AAGUGGAGCAGGAUGCUGCUAAUUUCGCAUAAAGAAAGGAAUCUACAUUUCUUGUUGCACAGUGAAAAUGAAGGCGUUAAGGAGAUCGAUCCUUUUAUUGGUGUUUUUGACGUUUUCAUUCAGAAUUAAGGCAUUUCAAGUAUCGCGGAGAGGCAACAGCUAUGAACAAUAUGCACGAGGCAACGGAUACAGAACCAGCAACGAUAGAUUCCACCAAUCGUCGGGCCAAAUAAAGCGUAAAGAUUGUUAUGACGGCGAUGGAACAAAUUACCGCGGGUUGAUGGCAUACGAUGAAAACGGACAGCCUUGCAUAGACUGGGCAGAUAUUGACGGCUUUAUUAGUGAAUACCCGAACAAGAGACUUGAAGAUGGUCCUUAUUGCCGUAAUCCUGUUGGCGCCGUCCGACCGUGGUGCUACAUAAUGGACCGACAACGCCGCUGGAGUUUAACUUACUGUUCUCGUUCGAGCUGCAGACCAGGAACUCGUACUGCUAUUACCAAGCUUGUCGUUUGAAAGAGUUCACAUGUAGUGAUGGACAAUGCGUUGGCGCCAGUUCCGUAUGUGAUAGUCAUUGCCAUUGUGGAAUUUGCGACGAUGAGCACAACUGCACUUCUUGGCGCAUACGACUCGUGAAUGGAACGCACUAUUUUGGCCGGGUAGAUCUCACCACCAAUAGGCUCACGGGGACGGUCUGUGAUCGCUCAUGGGAUAACAGUGAUGCCACGGUCGUGUGCAAGUCACUUGGAUUCAGGUUUGGGCAUUCCGUGCCUCGGGGAUAUUAUGGCUAUGGCACUGGACCAAUCUGGUUGGAUGACGUCGACUGUACAGGAGAUGAAACCGCGUUGUCGAGCUGUCGGCAUGGCGGUCUUGGGGUGUCGAACUGCGAGCAUACUAACGACGCAGGCGUCAUCUGUAUGAACGAUAUGCCCACAGUACCUAAACAAGUUACAGGUCGUAUGUCCACACAAACAAUGCAAAUAUGCCGUGAAUAAAAUAACGCUAUGGAUUCUUGUCAUCUAAUGUCUUAAAACGACAAUAGCCAAUUUUGUGUACAUGAUAUCUUAGAUUUUAAGUAAAGAGCAUGGAUUUAACUAAAAGGAAUAAUAGCAAUGAUCUUAGUUUUUUAUCGGGCAUUGAUGUGUUCAUUCCACUAAAUCAUUGUUUAUCCCACCGUGGUCCAAGUUAGUUCCAAUGUCCCAAAUGUUCAUUUUGUUUUCUUUUUAAACGUCAUUAGCAAUCGCAAUCAUGCUUUUGUGGUUAUUUCUUUAUUUUUCGUGACUCUGCAACUUUUUAGUGCUUUUCAUGUGGAGCCAUUUUUAAAGGUGAAUGAUUAAAUGUAGUGCUAUUGUGAUAUUAACAUAUUUGGAAGACUUAACCAUAAACUUGAGCUAUGUAUAUAUAGUUUUUGAGCACGCUAUCAACACAUAGGUCUUAAGACGAAAGAAACAAAUGAGACACAAUUAAUUAAUUAAUAUAUCUUAAACUUGUUCUGACCGGUUUAUUCAUAACACACGAAGCAGUAAGUUUUAAAUGAUACCUUUGUGGAAUAUAUGUGAAUUUGGGGUAGAAAAACAAUAUACUUACUUUGUACAUUCAGCCAGUAAUACAUGUUUUAAUAUAUAGUGAAAUUGCCAUGUAAAUAAAUACAUGUGUUAAUAUAUUUCAUAUAAUGUUAUUGUCAUGUGCAUAAAUACAUGUACAUGUGUAUUAAUAUACUUGAUAUAAUGAUAUUGCCAUGUGAAUAAAUACAUGUUUUACUAUACUUGAUAUAAUUACAUUGCCUUGUGCAUACAUAAGCCCCACAGUGAAUGUGCUAUAUAACGAAGAUCAAACAGUUAUUGCGUCGUAUACAGGAUAUAUAGACGGCCCAACAUCAAGUGAGCCGUAUACAGAACACCCAACAGCUAGUGUGUUGUUUACAGAAUUCCAAACUGUAAGUUUGGAGUUAGUUUAUGGACCAAACAAAUA